rnacentral:lncRNA from 1 species
GCAGGGAGGAGGAAGGGCCCUGGCCGCUGCAGUGGAGACCGGGAUGGAGUCGUGGGUCCUGGUCAUUCUGUUCCUCCUGAGGACGCGAUUUUAAAGAAAACUCCUCCUCGUGACUGAAGGAGAUUUCCACAGCAGGACAUAGACCGGCAGCCGUGCGUCAGUGCCUGUCAUGGCGUCGCUCUGCACAGGUCCAGGGGAGUCACCGACUGGGGAUGUGAAGUUUAUCUUUCUCCUGUUGAACGCGCACUCCUGGAGACGUCUGUUUUCCAGUCUCACCUGCGGCCAGUGCUCCUUACACAGGACACAGGUGGAGGACGGCGCUCAGGCGCCCCCUGGUGGCUUCUACUGAACGGAUUUCAUAUAAUGAGACGACGAAGGAAAUUCUGAGAAAGGUGCGGGGCUGUGUACAGUAAAUUUCCUUUACACAAAUGUUCAUGU